AUUGAACGCUGGCGGCAUGCCUUACACACGCAAGUCGAACGGCAGCACGGGUGCUUGCACCUGGUGGCGAGUGGCGAACGGGUGAGUAAUAUAUCGGAACGUACCUUAUUGUGGGGGAUAACGCAGCGAAAGCUGUGCUAAUACCGCAUAAUCCCUAAGGGGGAAAGCGGGGGACAGUAAGGCCUCGCGCAAUUAGAGCGGCCGAUACCUGAUUAGCUAGUUGGUGAGGUAAAGGCUCACCAAGGCAACGAUCAGUAGCUGGUCUGAGAGGACGAUCAGCCACACUGGGACUGAGACACGGCCCAGACUCCUACGGGAGGCAGCAGUGGGGAAUUUUGGACAAUGGGGGCAACCCUGAUCCAGCAAUGCCGCGUGAGUGAAGAAGGCCUUCGGGUUGUAAAGCUCUUUCGUCAGGGAAGAAACAGCAGCUCUAACACAGUUUGCGAAUGACGGUACCUGAAGAAUAAGCACCGGCUAACUACGUGCCAGCCGCCGCCGUAA
rnacentral:rRNA from 1 species